UACGGGGGGGGCAAGCGUUGUUCGGAAUUAUUGGGCGUAAAGGGCUCGUAGGCGGCCAACUAGGUCAGACGUGAAAUCCCUCGGCUUAACCGGGGAACUGCCUCUGAUACUGGAUGGCUUGAGAUUGGGAGAGGGAUGCGGAAUUCCAGGUGUAGCGGUGAAAUGCGUAGAUAUCUGGAGGAACACCGGUGGCGAAGGCGGCAUCCUGGACCGGUAUUGACGCUGAGGAGCGAAAGCUAGGGGAGCAAACGGG
rnacentral:rRNA from 1 species